rnacentral:rRNA from 1 species
UACGUAGGGUGCAAGCGUUAAUCGGAAUUACUGGGCGUAAAGCGUGCGCAGGCGGCGAUGCAAGACAGGUGUGAAAUCCCCGGGCUCAACCUGGGAACUGCAUUUGUGACUGCAUCGCUGGAGUACGGCAGAGGGGGAUGGAAUUCCGCGUGUAGCAGUGAAAUGCGUAGAUAUGCGGAGGAACACCGAUGGCGAAGGCGAUCCCCUGGGCCUAUACUGACGCUCAUGCACGAAAGCGUGGGGAGCGAACGGG